rnacentral:rRNA from 1 species
ACGAAGCGCUUAAAUGGAUUUCUUCGGAUUGAAGUUUUUGUGACUGAGUGGCGGACGGGUGAGUAACGCGUGGGUAACCUGCCUCAUACAGGGGGAUAACAGUUAGAAAUGACUGCUAAUACCGCAUAAGCGCACAGUGCUGCAUGGCACAGUGUGAAAAACUCCGGUGGUAUGAGAUGGACCCGCGUCUGAUUAGCUGGUUGGUGGGGUAACGGCCUACCAAGGCGACGAUCAGUAGCCGGCCUGAGAGGGUGAACGGCCACAUUGGGACUGAGACACGGCCCAAACUCCUACGGGAGGCAGCAGUGGGGAAUAUUGCACAAUGGGGGAAACCCUGAUGCAGCGACGCCGCGUGAGCGAAGAAGUAUUUCGGUAUGUAAAGCUCUAUCAGCAGGGAAGAAAAUGACGGUACCUGACUAAGAAGCACCGGCUAAAUACGUGCCAGCAGCCGCGGUAAUACGUAUGGUGCAAGCGUUAUCCGGAUUUACUGGGUGUAAAGGGAGCGUAGACGGUUGUGUAAGUCUGAUGUGAAAGCCCGGGGCUCAACCCCGGGACUGCAUUGGAAACUAUGUAACUAGAGUGUCGGAGAGGUAAGCGGAAUUCCUAGUGUAGCGGUGAAAUGCGUAGAUAUUAGGAGGAACACCAGUGGCGAAGGCGGCUUACUGGACGAUCACUGACGUUGAGGCUCGAAAGCGUGGGGAGCAAACAGG